rnacentral:rRNA from 1 species
UACGGGGGGGGCAAGCGUUGUUCGGAAUUACUGGGCGUAAAGGGCUCGUAGGCGGCCAACUAAGUCGGAUGUGAAAUCCCCCAGCUUAACCUGGGAACUGCAUCCGAUACUGGAUGGCUUGAAUCCGGGAGAGGGAUGCAGAAUUCCAGGUGUAGCGGUGAAAUGCGUAGAUAUCUGGAGGAAUACCGGUGGCGAAGGCGGCAUCCUGGACCGGCAUUGACGCUGAUGAGCGAAAAGCUAGGGGAGCAAACGGGG